rnacentral:lncRNA from 1 species
GCUGGAACGAGGAUUACAUGGCCUUGAGCCUGUAAUCGUAGCCAACUUUCCUACAAAGAAGUACAGUGCUGACCUUUUCUUGGCUUCAGAAGAUGCUCAGUAUGUCCUUUUCUCCUACUUUAUUUCCUUUUGUGAUAUCUGCUUUGAAACAUAUGCAGUGAAUUCAGUACAAGGAAAAAUAAAUGGAAAUAGUUUUCUUGAGAUAAUUGUAAAAAUGCUCAAAAUUUACAAGUCUACUAUGAGACUGGUGCUUUUUCCUUAAUUAUAUUUGGCGGUAUUGUUUGAUAAAGGUUUAUUUUCUUCUUCAGUGAAGAAAGAUGGUAAGAAUUUCUUAAACCAGAAGUAUCUUAAGUUGCUGCUCUCCAAAUUGCUACACUUAGGUGCUGGGGUUGGACGCAUAUCUACAACUUAAAGGGAACUUCCAGUAUUUCCAUACCUGAAUUAAAGGAUACAUACUUGCAAGCCUUGCUUGUUCCCAGAUUUUGGUAUGCUGGGGGUGAAUGGAGGGUUGGAAUAGCAGAUACCAAUAGGUUGAGCAAUAUAGCUUUUUGAUGGUAUAGGGUUAGGAUAAUAGUUGCUCUUGUAUUUUGGUAAUUAUUCAGAUAAUGUUAAUUAAGAAGUUCAAUGGAUUCUUCUACAUUUUCAAAGACACAGAGAGGGGAUCUGGUAGAGGGUGGGGAGCUGUGGAACUUGAGAAUUUUUGGCUAAACUUGAUGCACAAGUCUAUAUCCUCCCCCAUGAAAGCAUGAUUGUCUGAAAGUUCAAUCUGCUUAUCAAGAGGGAAUUAAUACACUAGUGGACUUUCCUUGUGAAACUGCCUUUUCUUUGUUGGCCUUAUCAAUGGAAGUGAUAUCCAUGUUUUAAUAUGUUUUGACUUGAAAUGCUGUCUC